rnacentral:rRNA from 1 species
GACGAACCGUGCGAACGUUGUUCGGAAUCACUGGGCUUAAAGGGCGCGUAGGCGGGCCACCAAGUCCGGGGUGAAAUCUUUCGGCUCAACCGGAAAACAGCUUUGGAUACUGGUGGCCUCGAGGGAGGUAGGGGCACGCGGAACUUCCGGUGGAGCGGUGAAAUGCGUUGAUAUCGGAAGGAACUCCGGUGGCGAAAGCGGCGUGCUGGACCUCUUCUGACGCUGAGGCGCGAAAGCCAGGGGAGCAAACGGG